CUCACCCAGACUCUACCUCCAGCGGCCCCCGGGGAAAUUGAGUUUGAGACCCCUGACUUAGACUGACAAGAAAGGCUGAGUCAGUUGUGGGGAUCAAGCUGGCUCUACUGGACGAUGCUGAAGAAGAUCAGAGCUAUCAAGGAUAAUGCCUUUCAUCCCCUUUACAGCCUGAUGGACAGCCAGAGGAGCAGACAUACAGCAGAUUACUGCAGCCCAGAGGUGUUAAAGAUCGCUACAGCAAGACCUUUCUGCCCGAGGCUAUCAAACUUUAUAAUGCAUACAUCGUCUCUAGAACUGUGCGUUUUAAAUGUUGAAUAUACAUUUAACAAUAUACUGAGCGAUGUUGUAUAUUUGUUAAUAUUAUUUUUUCUUAUUAUUAGUUUUAAUUCUCAAACUAAAUUCAUCUCUCCUUUGGGGAUUAGUAAAGUACAAAGUUUUAGAGUACAAACUGGCAUAAUCUUUCACAGGUAUGAAUGAAAAAGAACAUAUAUAUAUAUAAGCAUAUUUGUCCAUAAUUAUGUAAUUUACGAGCAGAAAUUCUUGACUUUGCAGCCAGAACAGUGAAUUCCCAUGGUGAAACUAGCUUCUAAACAACCAAGAAAUAUUUCCUAUGCAACUAAAUCGGCAUAAACUUGUGUCUACCAGGAUGUCUCAGAGGUUCCUGGACUGCUCCCAGUUUGACCAACACACUGAACCCUGCCUCUGUUGCCAGUAUGAUAUAAAUACAUUUGUAUUGUAAUGUACAACUGAAAUACAAAAGUAGACAAAAUACAGACUUAACUAUGAAA